rnacentral:rRNA from 1 species
AGCGAACGCUGGCGGCGUGCUUAACACAUGCAAGUCGAACGAAGGCUUCGGCCUUAGUGGCGGACGGGUGAGUAACGCGUGGGAAUCUACCUUACGGCGGGGAAUAACAGCGGGAAACUGCUGCUAAUACCGCAUACGCUCUACGGAGGAAAGGCUUCGGCCACCGUUUGAGGAUCCCGCGUCCGAUUAGCUAGUUGGGGAGGUAACGGCUCACCAAGGCGACGAUCGGUAGCUGGUCUGAGAGGAUGAUCAGCCACACUGGGACUGAGACACGGCCCAGACUCCUACGGGAGGCAGCAGUGGGGAAUAUUGGACAAUGGGGGAAACCCUGAUCCAGCGACGCCGCGUGAAUGAUGAAGGCCUUAGGGUUGUAAAGUUCUUUCGUCCGUGACGAUGAUGACAGUAGCGGAAGAAGAAGCUCCGGCUAACUUCGUGCCAGCCGCCGCGGUAA